GCAUCUGCUUCUGGAGGGAGGUUGGCCCUCCCGGGAACUGAAACCGUGCAAAGCAAAACCAAGCUAAAACCCUCCACAAGGGGGGACCGCUGCGUUUGUUCACCGCUCUAGUCCAGUUCCCAGCAAACACAAGCAUCCAUCCGGAUGCAAUGCUUUUGCUGUAUUUGUGAGUUAAAUUCAAACAAGCUCUUACCAAGAAAGCAAGCUGUGUCAGUAUAGAGGCUGGACAAAGAAGAAAGUAAUGAGCUAUGAAAAAGUCCUGGUGUGUCAAAAAAUGAAGACUUUAGAAGAAUUUCAAAGGAUGAGAAGUGUCCAGUUAUAGGAAGGAUAAGCAGGAGAGCCCAGGACCCUGGCAGCAGGGCAUAAAAUGACUUUUCCAAAGCAGAGGUUCAGCCCCACACAGCAAUGAGCCCAGGCAACCCGAUUAUCAACCCAGAUCAUCGUUAUUUGUCUUUCAUCAUUUUUUUCAUCUGUGGAAAUCACUGAUGCUCUCAUGAAAAAUUAUUCAGAAUGACAACGAGUCCUCUGUCUGUCGAGUGCUGAACAGAACCCUGGUCAUACAGGUGCCCAGCUCACAUGAAGCUGAAGGUGGUGGUUACUUGUCAACUGACAUCUGGAUGAACAUGAGCAAAUGAAAGGCACCCAGAAAACCGAGGCUGAACGCUUCAUAUUACAUAAAAUAUGAUGGCGAUAACAACCUCCUUCACAGAGCUACUGUGGGCUUCAGGUAACUUGAUGAUCAUAGUCCACAGCUAUACUUACAAAAUGACAGAGCUAGGAGUACCAUUGAGAUCACUUGCCUUAUUUGGGACACAAAUAAACUUAGAAGUGAGAUGACUUCUUCAUGGUCACAAAGUUCUCUAUGGUCCACUAAAAGAAAAGAAUGUUUACAGAGAGGACCUCUGUGUCUAAAACCAAGGGCAAAAUGCUUCAUAUGGCUAACCGAGAAGCUAGUCUUGCCCAAGGAAAGCUUUCACUAUAUUGUCAUCCUUGAGUCAUUCAAAGUGAGUAUGUGCUCUUGUUCAUCUAAUUUUCCAACUAAAUGUCAUCAGUCACCUUGAAGCAGGUCAUUUCCUGCUGAUAAACAGCCCUUGACAAGGCUGUAAGCAGUCAGUUUUUACCACCUGGUCAUUAAUCCCUACAAAUGCCCUAGACCCAAAUUCCCAAUUGCUUAAACAAAUGGUUUCCAUGGAUGUUGGAACAUCCCCGCAAAUCUACAGCACUUGCUGGUAGCAAAAGUAGUUCUCUGUGCCACCUACUCCUACACUUCUCCCCCCAGUCCCAGGAAAUGCUAAAUGAAAAGUCAAGAGAGAUCUGAUGGCUGCAAAGGGGAAGUCUGAAGGUAAGGGGGGCAGUAUUGUCAUUCAUUGCCAUUCCCUCCCCAGAGGUCAUUCUGAGAGCAGGUGAGACUAUGAUGUAUGGGAUGUAAGAGAGAAAGGUCUAAUGGGAGGAAUACUUCAGUGUUGUCAGUGAGGAUUUAGGUGAAGUCUCGUCACGAUUAAACAAGGGUCUCUGUUGCUCCAAGUGGAGGGAUAUUUAAGCAGGAUUGGGGGGCAGCCAGUUCUCAGAGAAAUGGUCUCACAGUGGCCACGUCAUGCCCAAACCUGCAUUUAGGUCUGCUGUGCUGCAUUAAGGUUUCUGUGUUGGCCACAUCGUUGGCCUGCCUGGUUCUUUGGUUUUUCUGGAGGCUGCGACCCCUGUUCUCUCACUCCCACCCACAUGGUCAUCAUGCAUACAGUUACCUCAGGAGCAUCCCCUCUGUGCUGUGUGACUCUAGCCCCAAGACCCUAGCUGUGACCCUUGACCUGAGGUAAGCCAAUAGGAACCCCUUCUACCGUUGUCGGCCUUGAAGCCAGAGCUUCAAGCUGGUACUUUUCCAUCGCCUAUGGCAUAUACUUUAAAGCUGUGUACUCCAUGAUUAUGUUUCCACAUGGUGUUCAGGAGAAAUGGAGGCAGCCAAUUUGAAGAAAGAAAAAAAUGAGAAAGAAAUUGAGAGGAAUAAAUGAAAAAUGAAGACAGAGAUGGUUGUGAUGAGUUUUAUUGUUAGUUCCAGUUGUUCCUGGAACCCGUGUGCAGUUCUGUUCUUGGAUUCCACGAGACCUCUGGCAUUUGAAGAAAAGUUCCCUAUUUUCAUUAAACUAAUUGGGAAUCUGUCAUGGCAACCAAAAAAAUUCUAAGAACUAUAUUCCCUUCUUUCCUUUGACACUGACUUUAUGGCGGAUCAUUUAAGUCCAGGUACAUCUCCCAUUUUUUCUUUAAUGUAUAUGGUAUUUAUAGUCAGAUAGAAAUGAGGUCCCUGGUUUUCAUGUGGCCUUGGAUUUUCCUGAUACCGUCUGAUUGUUGGAGGUGGAUUACUAUCUUUGCUGCCAAAUGUCAAGAACACUUGGAUCUACUUGGAAGCAGAGCCGGUGCUGAUAGGGCAGCGCCCUCUGCUUAGAGGGCAGCCUUGUUCAUCCUGUAUCUCCUGUCACCAGUCUACUACUUGUUGCGAGAAAUGGGCCCUUAUGGGGAUCAGAGAGGCUCUGUAUAAACGGGUAACCCUUUGACCUGAGCUUAAAACAUUGCUUUGCUACUCUAUGAAGCUGGUGGCAAUGGUGGGGUCGGGAGAGUAUCCUAAGAUUCUCUUCGC